rnacentral:tRNA from 2 species
GGGUAGGUAGCUCAGUUGGUAGAGCAACGGACUGAAAAUCCGUGUGUCGGCGGUUCAAAUCCGCCCCUGCCCA